rnacentral:rRNA from 1 species
UACGGCGGGCGCAAACGGUGUUCGGAAUCACUGGGCGUAAAGCGCGUGGAGGCGGCUUUGCAAGUCGGGUGUGAAAUCCCGAGGCUCAACCUCGGAACUGCACUCGAUACUGCUUGGCUCGAGUCCCGGAGAGGGUGGCGGAAUUCCCGGUGUAGGGGUGAAAUCCGUAGAUAUCGGGAGGAACAUCAGUGGCGAAGGCGGCCACCUGGACGGUGACUGACGAUGAGACGCGAAAGCGUGGGGAGCAAACAGG